GAUCCACCUGCCCCAGCCUCCCAAAGUGCUGGGAUUACAGUAGAGAAGCUCUGCUGUGGCGAGUGUGGAGCAAGCUUCCCAAACCCUUUUUGGGUCAGGGUAGGUGGUUGUGGCCCGGUUGUUUGGCCUCAUAGUUUGACGUCUGCAGGCUACAGCCCUGCCCUGCUGCCUGCUGGAGGGGUGAGGGCCUGGCCACC